GACGAACGCUGGCGGCGCGCCUAACACAUGCAAGUCGAACGGAGCUGAGAGAAGCUUGCUUUUCUUAGCUUAGUGGCGAACGGGUGAGUAACGCGUGAGUAACCUGCCCUGGAGUGGGGGACAACAGUUGGAAACGACUGCUAAUACCGCAUAAGCCCACGAUCCGGCAUCGGAUUGAGGGAAAAGGAUUUAUUCGCUUCAGGAUGGACUCGCGUCCAAUUAGCUAGUUGGUGAGGUAACGGCCCACCAAGGCGACGAUUGGUAGCCGGACUGAGAGGUUGAACGGCCACAUUGGGACUGAGACACGGCCCGGACUCCUACGGGAGGCAGCAGUGGGGGAUAUUGCACAAUGGGGGAAACCCUGAUGCAGCGACGCCGCGUGGAGGAAGAAGGUUUUCGGAUUGUAAACUCCUGUCGUUAGGGACGAUAAUGACGGUACCUAACAAGAAAGCACCGGCUAACUACGUG
rnacentral:rRNA from 1 species